rnacentral:lncRNA from 1 species
UAAAUCCCUUCUAAUCCUGCUCACUUUGAGGGCUCACGAGCAAGACUUCUACUGCUUCCAAUUAAUAUGUUUUAGUGACAAGUUUGCCAUCAGGGAAUAAAGAAACCAUUUUACACCUGGAAUGGAGAAUGGGGUAGGAGGGAGAGGUGGAGUAUGUGUUACUAUGUAAUAAUUUGCGUUGCUCACUGUUUUACCGUUGGCUGCCUCUGUGAUCUCUCCAGGGAAGACCGAGGAAGCUAGGUUUAUGGAAAGUGGGUUGCUUGACCCAUCAGGAAGACACACUAGGAAUCUGAUGAGGAGGUCAGGUCUAGAAACCUGAAUUACAAGGGACGAACUUGGGAGUGAAUUGUCAAGUUUUGUUCCUUUAAUCUUUUACUCUUUCCUCCAUCUUAGUACUUUCCUUUUCUUCCAGUCUCCUCCCAGCUUUGUUUGCUGAAUACUUUUUUCACUCUUGUUUUUACAGAUCUUUCCCUAGAAGACAAGGAUGAGGACGUCCACAGCCAAAGGACAGCACAGUUGCCAGAGAUGGCGUUACUCACCCUCUCAGAGUGCCUGACGGGUCCCUGCUAACUCGUGUGCGGUCACUGCCCCCACCCCGUGGAGGUCGUUCCCGGCUGGAGGAGGGCCCUGCCCAUUCCAGGCCUUCCUGGACCCUUGUGGCUCCACCUUUUCGUGUGGCCUCUCCCCCAUGAAGAUCCCGGGAGCUCCAAACGCCACUGCCAGCUUCAAAUCCAGGAGAAAAAGGGCUUUCAACUGAGAAUUUGGGGGUCCUUUAAAAAAGUAAAUUUCACUGGGCACCUGGGAGGGCUCAGUCAGUUAAGUGUCCAACUCUAGGUCUCUGCUCAGGUCACGAUCUCACAGUUGGUGAGUUCGAGUGCCCACAUCCAGGCUCUGUGCUGAUAGCAUGGAGCCUGCUUGGGAUUCUCUCUCUCUCUCUCUCUCUCUCUCUCUCUCUCUCUCUGUGCCCCUCCUGCACCCCCACCUCAAAAUAAAUAAAUAAACUUAAAAAAAAA